rnacentral:tRNA from 1 species
UGUUCCAUAGCUCAUUGGUAGAGCAAUCGACUCAUAAUCGAUGUGUAGCGGGUUCGAAUCCUGCUGGAAAACCA